GAGGGCAUUUUGGCUGCAACAUCUGUCACCCCACUGAUCAGCAGGGUUGAUUGGGCUGAUCUGGCUGGCUCUGCCUUGACUGCUCCACCUGCAUCCCUC
rnacentral:sRNA from 1 species